CGAGAUCAGCAGCGAGUCAGCGACAUUCGUUCCAUACUUCCAAUCUUAAAGACAUUUAUUUUUCUAGGAGACGCUCGAGAAGGUUACCUUAGCCAUUGGAUCAUGGCGGCUUUCUUUCCUAACGUUUUUCGUCAAUGCCUGGUGCACGUGCACGUGAUCGCUGUCUUGUCAUGAAGAGGGUCUCCACUAUUUUGCAAGGCAAUUGAGAUGAAAAGAGGAAAUUUGAAAAGGGUUCCUUGUUUGGUUUGAGCUGUUAAUGGUGUGCAGUGGUUUUGCAGUCAUUCCGUUGAGAGAUGCCCUGAGAUAACUACUAAGACUUUCCUCACAUCAUCGUCCUUUUCUAUGGAGAUGCUGUCCGAAAAGGCUCAGAUUGGCCAUAUUGCAGGCAAUUUUCUCUCUUGACAAUUAGUCUUAUAACAUUUGUAACAGCCUGGUGAAGUCCAAGCUUUUCAUUGCGUUACGUGUACGUGAUCGCUGCCGUUAAAUGCAGGUUCUCUAAUAAGAGGGUCUCCGCCCUCUUAUACUUGCUGCAGCGAGCUCUGGUGAAGGAUGUAAGUUGUUGCAUGACGACCAUGUGCUGGUGUGGGGAAGUGCUGCAUGCUGUCUGUGGUUUCGUUGUCAUGUAGGUGGUUUUGUUGCAGCCACUGCUGGUGGGAGUGAAAAAUGAGUUUUUUGAGGUAGUCAACAACGCUGGUUUUAUUCCGAAAUGUAACAUCAAUGAAGUCAUCUUGAAAUGGUCUUGGUGAUGAUGCAAUCAUCAAUCUUUUGCAUGCAGUUUUUGUUAUCAAGUAGUGGAGAAGUAAGACUUGAAGCAAAGCUGCAAGAAAAGAAAUGGUUAUUUGCCUGAGGUAUCGACGUUAAUUAAAUGUGCAGUGGUUUUGCAGUCCGACUCCUGUUCAAGCUGUUGUUUUCCUGAAUAUUGCUGGAGUCUUUGAAGUAGCUGAUCCUGAAGUUAUGAUGCCGGGGUUAUUCUGGAGUAGCUGUUGUUGGUGUCUAAAGUAACCGUGCCAGUCCAAUUCGGGUUGA